rnacentral:lncRNA from 10 species
AACAGAGUAAGCUGUGAAGCAUCUUGGAAUUCUAGGGAAGCUGGAAGUCCACCUUCCUGUUCCUCUUUUCCCACUGUAGAAACUGUGGGCCCUAAGGAAUCUUCUUUGUGGUGCUGUGCCGACUUGAGAGUACAAGGGAAAAACAAUCAACAGUUACACACACUAUGAUGAAAGGGCAACAGAUACUUGGUCUGAGUUUGAGAGAAGCUGGAGUGAGAAGAGAGAACUGGACUGAAGGGAUGCUGAACUGACAACAUGUCACUAUGUCAAGUGGGAUGUUAAUAGAUCUGAAGCAUCAGAGAUUGAAAAACAUUUGUGCCCUUGAGCUUACACCAGGACCUCUGUGACAGCCGUGAAAAGGACAUCAUAUGGAUGAGGUUGCUAAUCUCAGAGGAGGGUGAGAGGACUGGAGAGCAAAAUGAAGAAAGAGAUGCAAAAUUGCCUUCCUCAUCUUUCCCAAUGAAGAUUUCCCAUGGGAACCAAGUCCGAAUUACAGAAGGAAAGAGGUUACAGUCAAAAAAGAAAAUACGACAUGACAUUUCAGUUAUGAAACUAAUUACCUUGAGAUAAAUUUUCUUGUGAAUACUUCUUAUUAUCUAAGAAUUGACAGAAAGUCUGCUAAAGAUUUUACUCAGGACCACAGGAUUUUGAAUAACCUGGUGUGGAAGUACGGGGGAGGGGGGAAGGGUGGGAAGUUUUCUGAUUAUAUUGUAAGAGUCCUGUUUAUUCUGUGAAAUGUUUUUUUUUUCUCAUGUGUGUAUAUAUGUGUGUGUGUAUAGGAGAGGAAGGAACUGAAAGUGAAAUUUAACAGUAAAAUUUAGCAGUUAACAGAUUUCAUUACAUGCUUCAUAUAAACUAAAUCCGUCAUUAUUUUUAUUAACAUAAAAAACUAUAAUUUUAAAUUACACAGUUCAAUAAAAUUCCUAUACCUAUCUCUUUCUU